rnacentral:rRNA from 1 species
GACGAACGCUGGCGGCGUGCUUAACACAUGCAAGUCGAACGGGAUUUAGUAGACAGAAACCUCGGUGGAAGAUUACUAAUGAGAGUGGCGAACGGGUGAGUAACGCGUGAGCAACCUGCCUAUGACAGUGGGAUAGCCUCGGGAAACCGGGAUUAAUACCGCAUAAAAUCGUAGAAACACAUGUUUCAACGGUCAAAGAUUUAUCGGUCAUAGAUGGGCUCGCGUCUGAUUAGCUAGUUGGUGAGAUAACAGCCCACCAAGGCGACGAUCAGUAGCCGGUCUGAGAGGAUGAACGGCCACAUUGGAACUGAGACACGGUCCAAACUCCUACGGGAGGCAGCAGUGGGGAAUAUUGCACAAUGGGGGAAACCCUGAUGCAGCGACGCCGCGUGAACGAAGAAGGUAUUCGUACCGUGAAGUUCUGUCCUAUGGGAAGAUAAUGACAGUACCAUAGAAGAAAGCUCCGGCUAAAUACGUGCCAGCAGCCGCGGUAAUACGUAUGGAGCGAGCGUUGUCCGGAAUUAUUGGGCGUAAAGGGUACGCAGGCGGUUUAAUAAGUCGAAUGUUAAAGAUCGGGGCUCAACCCCGUAAAGCAUUGGAAACUGAUAAACUUGAGUAGUGGAGAGGAAAGUGGAAUUCCUAGUGUAGUGGUGAAAUACGUAGAUAUUAGGAGGAAUACCAGUAGCGAAGGCGACUUUCUGGACACAAACUGACGCUGAGGUACGAAAGCGUGGGGAGCAAACAGG